GACGAACGCUGGCGGCGUGCCUAAUACAUGCAAGUAGAACGCUGAAGGAGGAGCUUGCUUCUCUGGAUGAGUUGCGAACGGGUGAGUAACGCGUAGGUAACCUGCCCGGUAGCGGGGGAUAACUAUUGGAAACGAUAGCUAAUACCGCAUAAUAGUAGAUGUCGCAUGACAUUUGCUUAAAAGGUGCAAUUGCAUCACUACCAGAUGGACCUGCGUUGUAUUAGCUAGUUGGUGAGGUAACGGCUCACCAAGGCAACGAUACAUAGCCGACCUGAGAGGGUGAUCGGCCACACUGGGACUGAGACACGGCCCAGACUCCUACGGGAGGCAGCAGUAGGGAAGCUUCGGCAAUGGACGGAAGUCUGACCGAGCAACGCCGCGUGAGUGAAGAAGGUUUUCGGAUCGUAAAGCUCUGUUGUAAGAGAAGAACGAGUGUGAGAGUGGAAAGUUCACACUGUGACGGUAUCUUACCAGAAAGGGACGGCUAACUACGUG
rnacentral:rRNA from 1 species